GACCUUACUUCAGACUGGCCAGGUUUGAGGAGAUGCAAUGUGAACAUCUGACUCACCUGGAAGGUCUGCUGGAUGGAGACAAGGGAGGGACAGAAGGAGGUUGAGGACAACCUGGGAAAGAGAUGUUGCCUGACCCGUGGAGUUAUUCCAGCACUUUGUGUCUAUCUAGGGGUACAACCAUUGGAAGCAAUUGAUGGAUGUUUUUUCAUACAAAGCCAGUUUCAAUGCCCCUGGAUCAGUGCCUGGAGCAGCACAAUGACAGCAUUACAGACAUUUGUUUCUUCUGAUAAAAGACUUUCAAUUAUUGCCACAAUUUAUCGGCCAUGUGGAACUCUGAGUCUGACCACUUCCUGCACACAUUGAAGAGAAGUAAGGCUGAGAAUUUACAACAUUCCUGGGAACAACUACCACUCUCUUUUAUACUGGAAUAAAACUGCCUUUGCAAUUAUUUUUGCAGUGCCUUCACCGUGUACUUCCUCUGCAAUGUUUCCAGUCAUUUUUUACAACGUACAGCUCUUCAGGAUACCAAUUCUCUUCCUGUCAUUCUCAGCCCUCACUGUGUAAUGAAGCUGAAGAUUAAGAAAUCCAUGAUUUUCAGCUGAUGAGCUGAUGUACACAAUGAUCCACUAAUUUGUUUAAGUGCCUCCGAAUUUUCCACUUUGGUAGAAUUUACUUUUAAGCAAAAUCGAUUGUGCAUUCUCUACCCACAGGGAUUCCCUGUACCAAUCAAUGACCAGGGAACUUAGUUGCAAGCUGGCAGAAGUAAGCUAUGGAAUUUAUUGGAGUUAAGCUGGCUUGACUUCCCUGGGUAUUAGUUUGCUGGUAAUAUAGAGCCAAGUCAUAUGCAUUUCAGCUACCAUGCUGUCAUGCUUUUAGUUUCCAUUGGAAUACCCGUUCGACUGCUCAGUCAGCAAUGGCGCCCUGGGAUAUUGUGGAAAUGCUUGGUUUAGGUACCUGAUUAUUGAAUAUGAGACAGAGGUAAUGUGUUUCUGAAAUUCCAGUCACCAGGGGAGUAAUUCUGCAGCUCCAAAAAACCCAAAUAUAAAUUAUUAAAAAUCAAGUGAUGCAAGAUAAUGCCACCAACAAAUAACUUAUUCAAGUUUUGAAUAUAUUAGAUAUUUCACAGGCUGAGUAUUUAUCAUGUUGCAUCUUUACAGGACUUUGGUUUGGAGUUUGGUGUGUAAUACUGGAUGAAUUUAAAAGAGAGUUUGAGAGAGCUCUAGGGGCUAGUGGAAUCAAGGGAUCUGGGGAGAAGGCAGGCAUGGGUUACUGAUUGUAGAUGAUCACAAUGAAUGGCGGUGCUGGCUCGAAGGGCCAAAUGGCUUCCUCCUGCACCUAUUUUCCAUGUUUCUAUGUUUCUAUGUUCUGGUUGACACAUUGCAGGAAGGUUGUGGAUGCUUUGGAAAUA